rnacentral:tRNA from 1 species
CCUCAAGGUCGACGAUGGCGAGUUUAUCGUCUUCGUGGGGCCAUCGGGCUGCGGCAAGUCCACCGCGCUCCGGAUGAUCGCCGGCCUUGAGGA